GAUGAACGCUAGCGGCAGGCCUAACACAUGCAAGUCGAGGGGGAGGUUACUUUCGGGUGACUGAGACCGGCGUACGGGUGCGUAACGCGUAUACAAUCUGCCUUUCACUGGGGGAUAGCCCGAAGAAAUUUGGAUUAAUACCCCAUAGUAUAUAGGGACGGCAUCGUUUUUAUAUUAAAGCUACGGUGGUGAAAGAUGAGUAUGCGUUCUAUUAGCUAGUUGGAGAGGUAACGGCUCCCCAAGGCGAUGA
rnacentral:rRNA from 1 species